UAAACCCAAAAGAAAAAAGAAAAAUUUGUUUCAGCUUUUUCUUCCAACGCUCUCAAAAAACGUUCACUCUUUCUUCUGAUUCACGAACGCAACAACCAUCGUCGUCCUCCCCGAUCGUCCGUCAAGCUCGGCCGUUGUGAUGCAACCUUCGCCGCCGUCCCUCUAUCACCACAUAGCACCAUCUCCGUCGCAGCCACACUCCACGCCUCGCCAUGUGCUUGCAAUGCUCCUUCCUCUGCUUCCAGAUCCAGCAAAUUCUCGUUCACAAUACUCACCGGAGAAGAAACCCUAGAUCCGCGAUGCUCCAUGGCUGAUACCUCCAGGAUUCCACUCCGGCUACCACCAGGUGCCGCAACAAGGUACACUGAAUUGGAAAUUGCGGUGCCGGAGAUAGGAAUUGUAGGGCUGAACACAGAGAAUUUAGGGAUUGGAGGUGUUUGGGUUGACGGUGAUCCCAUACUACCCGCAUCAACAUCUGUAGUUGGAGGAUGGAUAGAGGUAUUGCUCACGGAAUCGACUCUGGUUCUCAUACGUAUGCUCAGAAAUUUGGGUUGAAAGCAAUUUCAAUUCUCUGUUUUCGUGUUGUUUAUUUGGAAAUGGUUGACUUAAGGGGUUCAAUUCCAGCUCAAAUCUAUUAUCUAUCUGAGUUUCUGGGUGAAAUUUCGUUCGAUGAAUUGGUUGCUUGUGGCUUGUGGUGUUUGAUCCUUAGUAGAAGGUCAUGGAGGUUCUCAAGAGGACUACCUAGAGAAGGGCGAGUUAAGCUAUGGAAACAGAGAAAUGCAUCACCAUGAAGCUGCAAAAGUUGGGAAUGCAAUACUGGUGUAACGCUUCAUUGAUGGAUUGAUCAUUCACAUGCUUAGUUUCCUGCUCAUGACCCUUCACCAACUCCAUUCUCAUUGAAGCUAUUGAUCCUUGGCCUGUCUAAAUUUUCCUCUGCUUCUCACAGAAUCGACUCUGGUUCUCAUAUGUAUGCUCAUGUAAUUGUCCUUACCUCUGUAUUGGAAUUUUGCACAAUCUUUACUUAUAUUUAAUUUCUCAUAUCUGAUAGUUAAAUUAAUUAAUGAAUCUUGUUUGUGUUUGCAUGCUUCAUUCUUGUUUCUUUACUAUAUUUUUGAGUAUUCUUAUCCAUAUGUCGAAAUGGGUUUUGGUUAUUUCCAAUUAUUAGAUUGUGAUAUACUAAUAUAAUUGAUUUUAGUGUAAUGUCUAGGUUUGUCCCAACAUUUUUGUUUGAGCAGUUGCUUGGAUAGUAUUCCUUUGGAUUUCAGCUACUGAUUAGAAACUUGACAUAUGCCUACUCUUUUUAUUGCGGGGUCAAUUGAUAACAAUAUAGUUACAAUGAAGAAACGUAUAAAAAUAUUUGAGACUUUAAAUCUUCAUGUACUUGAUUAGCUUGUGUUGGUAGUUUACAUAUAUCUUCCUGUAACUGAUUUAUGUACUUUGGUGUUUUAAUCUGUGUAGGAUGUACAUUCAUCUAAGUCUCAUGUUGCAAUGACUCUUACUCCAGCUAGUGUUGGUAGUUUACAACUUUGGAGGCUGGAACAAAUAUAUACAUUUCCUACCAUGUUCAUGGCUUCAUGCCCAUUUGCUAGUGUGCUAGCAUGUUAAAUCUUGAUGCAUACUUAGUAAAGAUGUUUCAUAUUUGAAACAUGGAAAAUCAGUAAAUUGUAAUUUUUUUUUCUUAUGAGUGACAGAACCACCUUUGAAGAGUGGUCUUGCAAUUAUGUAUAACAUAAUCUUGCUCAUGCUCAUUAAUAUUCAUAUGU